rnacentral:tRNA from 1 species
GGCGUGAUAGCAUGAUACACUGAUUCGUAAUCAGUAGGUCGUCGGUUCAAGUCCGAUUCCCGGCUCCA